rnacentral:tRNA from 1 species
GUACCCGUAGCUCAGUUGGAUAGAGCAUCGGACUCCGACUCCGAAGGCCGUGCGUUCAAAUCGCGCCGGGUACACCA